CCAUCUGUGAACUGCAAUUUGACGGUUUGACCUGGAUUUUGAUCGCCGAUUGCAUGGAGCAGACUAACGUGUGCCCCACCUAUCGCUUUGCCAAGCAUUGAGCCCUCCUACCCAAUCAUGGUUCAUGUUGGACCUAGAGGAUCAGGGAAGCAGUCUCUUGCCCAGAGGCUUGUCAAAGAUUUCUCAGAAUACUUUGGACUGGGAGUGUCCUGAAUUAUGAAGCUAAUCCACUUCCAGAUCUGCAAGGUCAUCCUUGUUCUGGAUCAGACCAGUCGUGAAUAUUGUCUGCAGGCUUGCGGAAACCUCUUCGCCACCCAGGUCCUAAUUUGCAGUGGAUAGGACCAACCUCUACUAGCACAUGCGUCACAAUAAACCAGGUUUCUUCUGUCAGGAGCUUUGACACUACUGACCUAGACAUGGUCUUCGAGCUGGUCCACAACCUGGUCCAGGAAUAGGACUCGCCUGUCCUCUAUCUACUCCCAGUCUCAGACCAGUUGUGCUACAAUAUCCGAGACCCAUUCCUCAUCAAUCUUUCAGUCCCCUGGUUGCCUGGGGAUCAUUGAGAACCCUCCAUCUCCUACCAACAUGAGGACGUUGAUGAAACCUGUCGUUGAUCCUCCUCCCAAAACCACUCAGCCAGAAUUCUAAGAAGAGGCAUGAGUCAACUAUGAGUGAUAUAGUAAGUAUUCAUUUACUUAAUAUGAUGGAACCAGGAAGGGGAUAGGCAAAAAUUUGGAUGAUCAGAGUGGGAAAAGGAUAGAGAAAGAGAAUGAGAACAUGUAUAAAAAGGUUAAAUAAAAUAAAUCACUAAAACAAAAUUCUUUAGAAAGAAACUUGUGGUAUUUUGAGGUCAUUUAAUCUUUAAAAUAUUUCAUUUUAUCUGUUAAAAUAAGGUAGGUUUUCUGAGGUCACAUUUAUCUCUCAGAUAAAUUUUUAUCUUGUGUAUCUGAAGAUGAUACACAAUAAAGCGGUGCCUGACAGACAGAUAUAUUGCAACACAGAUGAUAUGCUUGCUCCCAUGUUACUUUGAAGAAAAAAUAAAAUAACCUUCAAAUAGUGGUGGGGCAAUCUUAUCUCUGAGACAUUCAUUUUCAGCAAUAUUUCUUGGUGAAUUAGCUCCAAAUGUUGAAAUG